rnacentral:rRNA from 1 species
AGCUCCAAUAGCGUAUAUUAAAGUUGUUGCAGUUAAAAAGCUCGUAGUUGGAUUUCUGGUAGGAGCGACCGUGCCGAACUUGAUUGUUUGUGCAUUGUGUUGUCUUCAGCCAUCCUCGCGGAGAAGUUUUCCGGCAUUAAUUUGUCGGGAUUGGGACCCGCGUCGUUUACUGUGAAAAAAUUAGAGUGUUUAAAGCAGGCAAUCGCUUGAAUACAUUAGCAUGGAAUAAUAAGAUAGGACUUUGGUACUAUUUUGUUGGUUUGCAUACCAAAUUAAUGAUCAACAGGAACAGUUUGAGGAUAUUCGUAUGAACAUGUCAGAGGUGAAAUUCUUGGAUUUUGAUCAGACGAACUACUGCGAAAGCAUUUAUCAAGGAUGUUUUCAUUAAUCAAGAACGAAA